rnacentral:rRNA from 1 species
GACGAACGCUGGCGGCGUGCUUAACACAUGCAAGUCGAGCGGAGCGGCGAACGGGUGAGUAACGCGUGAGCAACUGUCCCCCUCUCCGGGAUAACAGUUGGAAACGGCUGCUAAUACCGGAUAGUGGGGGAUGACUCGCGGCCUAACAGCAUGUUGGUGAGGUAGUGGCUUAACAAGGCGACGACGGGUAGCCGGACUGAGAGGGCGACCCGCCACAGUGGGCAGGGGAGCCGGCCGAACUGCUACGGGAGGAAGCGAUGAAGAAUAGAGAGAGAUGGGGGAAGCCAUGAUGGAGCAAUCCGCGUGGUGGAGGACGGCCUUCGGGGUGUAAACCGCUUUCAGCCAUGAAGCGGUAGUGGCAGAAGAAGCACCGGCUAACUACGUGCCAGCAGCCGCGGUAAUAC